UUGAGAUUCUGCCGGCCGCCGGUGGGCGCAUUCGCCUGGACAGCGGUCCCGCGUUCCGGUGCACGUGACAAUCGCGCAUGCGCGUCUCAUCGCUGUGCAACGGCGCGGCUCGCGUGGGCCGCAAAUAAAAAAGAAAUAAUGCUUUGACCAGAGUGCCGAGGCUGCCGAGGCGGUGACGUGGUGCUGUAGCGAUUCUCAGCGUGGUCGCACGAUUCCGGAACUGUCGCUUAAGGUUUUCCUCAUGGCCGUGAGCAAUCCUCAUCUAAUUAAUCCGCAGGAAGGCUGCGAAUGCGAAGAAAGAGCCGAUCGAAAAAGAAAGGAUGAUAAGAGAGGAACAGAUGGUUGACUUCCAAGUGACUGAAGUAGCAGGGCUGAUGAGCGUCAAUAUCAGGACCAUAGACGGCACAACCCUAACGCACAAACCAAGACUCAAAGGACGAUGCAAGAUCAGGACGCUCCUCCCCCUCUCCUAGUUAUGCGUAGGCGAAAACAUCAAUCGUGCGGACUCUACUGCUCUCAGGGACCUCCAAAUCCGUGUUAGAAUGAUACCAGAAGAACAUUGUUCAAAAAUGUCCUCUUCUCACCCCGUGUGACGGAAAUUUCGUAAAUGCAAAUCGCUUGCGUCAUGAUAGUGUCAGAACUUCUGACUCCUGAACAAACAUCUCGACGAAGAGAAUGUUACAAUGAGAGGAAAGCUUGAGUUUAAAGCUGUAAAUUUCGGCAGAUGGUCGUAGUAACCGACGACGCUCUGAUUUACGAAUACGUUAUCGAGCUCCAUUCACAACGCAAGGAGUGUAAAAAUGAAGUUGAGCAAAUGUCAAGAAAUUUGCGGGAGAGCAAUUCAAUAACCCAAGUGGUGUUGAUCGUUAUUUCGAAUCGUGCAUAACGAAAUCAUACCUGUAAGUCAAACUUUUAAUCAGGUUUGACACAUUUAGGCCCGGAAGCGUAUGAAAGAUUGUGUGAGCAGCGUGGGACCACAUUUAUUGAAUGAGGGCUGCUGGAUUCCACGCCAAUAGAAGGGCGCUGCGCACUCUACUUGAUUGGGCGUAAGUUUCUCGCAGAUGAUUUCACCGCGGUUCUGCAGCGCGCUACCUUCGCUGCUAGCUUGAUUUAAUCACGGAAACAUUUUCUUCUAUCCCAAUUGUAAGCUAGUGCUCUUCGGUCGUCACAUUGGGGAUGUGCCUAAAAUUGAAAAGAAAACGACAUUAUUGCUAAAGCGAUUCACAAAAAAAAAUUCCAAGGAUGUUUUCAACAAUGAAAGAUGAAAUGGAACCUGGGGAUUUUUUCUAACAGGCAAUAUAUUAAGGUAACGACAUUGGUGUCAGGAAGUUUGUAAUAUAAUUUUCUAUGCGUAAUGCGUGGAAUUCGGGAUAACGUAAUAAAUAUGUGAGAAUACAUGUAGUGCGAAAAAUUACCUAGUGUUUCCUGCUGCAAUAUUUGCUUCAAUGCAGAUCACUUCACCAUUACACUGUUAUGCAAUUGCUUGCUUUGGCAAAAAUAGAUUUAUUUAUAGCAAAGGUAUGCGACUUGGGAAUUUGUGCAAGUUGGUACCGUUUAUGUUUUGUCGUGGUUAUAACGUGCAUUCAGUGUGACCAGCACGAACGCACGAACCAAGUGCUGGUCGUAAAAUAUAUCACUUCAUGGUGAGCUCAAAGCAACAAA